ACAUUCCUUCGGGGUAGGGUGAAUCUCCUUCGCUGAAGCUUCGGCGAUCGAGGUAAUUCCCAAUCGGUAGAUAUUCUCUACGAGUCCCGAUUAUAUCGGGACAUGAGCCGGCGAAACUCCGGCAGCGACCGUAAAGUCGGGAUAAAAGAGGGAUUUG
rnacentral:ncRNA from 2 species